rnacentral:piRNA from 1 species
UAUUUUAAUAGAAAUCUGAAG